GCAAAGGUAGCGUAAUCACUUGUCUUUUAAAUAAGACCCGUAUGAAAGGCAAAACGAGAGUUCAACUGUCUCUUUAAUCUUAUCAGUGAAAUUUAUUUCUCCGUGCAGAAGCGGAGAUAACCAUAUAAGACGAGAAGACCCUAUGGAGCUUUAAAUACAGAACCAACUACAACCACAUUUUUAGCCAACAGGCAAAAAAUUAAUAAGUGUAGUCGUGGUUUAGAUUUUCGGUUGGGGCGACCGCGGAGUAAAAAUUAACCUCCACGACAUAUAAUUUAGAUCGACACUUCGAAAACUAAAACAUUUACUUUAAUGACCCACUAAGUGAUCAACGAACCAAGUUACCCUAGGGAUAACAGCGCAAUCCUUUCUAAGAGGCCAUAUCGACGAAUGGGUUUACGACCUCGAUGUUUGACAGGACAA
rnacentral:rRNA from 1 species